rnacentral:lncRNA from 1 species
GCCACCGCACCCACACGCUCUAAUAUCUCAAACGGUCCGACAUAUCGGGGACUUAGCUUCCCACGGACUCCGAAUCGUUUGACUCCUCGCAUCGGCGAUACUCUCAAGAAUACACAGUCUCCAACCGCGAACUGUAAAUCCUUUCUUCUCUUGUCGGCAUAACUCUUCUGUCGAGAUUGCGCCGUGGCUAACCGUUGACGGGUAAGGCGAA